AUCCGAGUUGAGGUGUUUUGGUCAUGUUUUAUUUUGCAUGGUGGUCAUCGACCGGUUAUAGGUUGCUCCAGGCCUCGAAGGCCCGGCGGUACUGCUCCUCCACAUGGAGAGCUGAUGGUGCUGCUGCUCCUCGGCACCUUUGAGCGGUCUGUUAAUAGGAGGCGUGAGGCAAGCUGCAAGACUUCACGGCACCUUUGAGUGGUCUGCUAAUAGAAGGCAUGAGGCGAGCUGCAAGAUUUCAGGCACAUAAACAGCGCAAUGGCAAGAGCUAUAUAAUAUCACAUUGAUAUUCUGGACCCCGCAGGAGAAUAUAUAUUUAAGUGGUGUACAUGUACUAUGUAUAACUAGAAGAAGAUUACUAUAUUUGUGACUACACUAGAAAUUUAUAGUUGUUGCAGCACGUGGUUAGUUUACAAUAUCACGGUGGUGGUCAUCGACCAGUUAUAGGGUGCUCCAGUGCUCGAAGGCCCGGCGGUACUGCUCCUCGACAGGGAGAGCUGGUGGUGUUGCUGCUCCUCGGCACCUUGGAGCGGUCUGCUAAUAUGAGGCGUGAGGCGAGCUGCAAGACUUCAGGCACACAAACAGCACAACAGCAAGAGCUAUACAAUAUCACAUUGAUACAUAUUCUGCACCCCGCAGGAGACAUUAUAUAUUUAAGUGGUGUACAUCUACUAUAUAUACCUACAAGAUUACCUAUGUUUGCGACUCUACAAGUACUGGAAAAAAAAUUUGAACUAGAAAUUUAUAGAUCCUGCAUCACGUGAUUCUAUUCCUAAAUGGUUCAUGGCUACACGUCCCGUUUUCAGGAUUAUUCUGUCCAUGCCUUGGCUUUCACCUAGAUGGACAAGAGUCUGUUCUUUAGUGAGACGCCCAGCUGCAAGUUGUUGUUUGACCAGUUGUGAGGUGUCUCAGAGGCACCAAAUGGAUGUUCAUAAUGUUGAUCUAUCUACAUAUCAUGUGGUACACGGCCCAGAAAGAAGCAGUACGAUGGUUGGUCCAAAACUAAGCUCAUUCUUAGCAUGGGAUCACUGCCGAGAUUUCUUUCUCUUGACAAGCAGCAUCAUUGCUUACACCAGGAGUUCUUUAGCGGCGGCAAAGAGUCGAGGUGCAGCAAUACUGAUGCAUCAUGCAAUGCCAAGUGAACAAAUGGUGUCUCUCGGGAAAUUACGGGGACGGAUACGAGCACUACGUACCGUUGUCCUACUAUUAAGAAGUUAUAUUGCUGUUUCUCACCAAGACAUUG